rnacentral:rRNA from 1 species
AUUGAACGCUGGCGGCAGGCCUAACACAUGCAAGUCGAACGGUAACAGAAAGCAGCUUGCUGCUUUGCUGACGAGUGGCGGACGGGUGAGUAAUGUCUGGGAAACUGCCCGAUGGAGGGGGAUAACUACUGGAAACGGUAGCUAAUACCGCAUAACGUCGCAAGACCAAAGAGGGGGACCUUCGGGCCUCUUGCCAUCGGAUGUGCCCAGAUGGGAUUAGCUAGUAGGUGGGGUAACGGCUCACCUAGGCGACGAUCCCUAGCUGGUCUGAGAGGAUGACCAGCCACACUGGAACUGAGACACGGUCCAGACUCCUACGGGAGGCAGCAGUGGGGAAUAUUGCACAAUGGGCGCAAGCCUGAUGCAGCCAUGCCGCGUGUAUGAAGAAGGCCUUCGGGUUGUAAAGUACUUUCAGCGGGGAGGAAGGGAGUAAAGUUAAUACCUUUGCUCAUUGACGUUACCCGCAGAAGAAGCACCGGCUAACUCCGUGCCAGCAGCCGCGGUAAUACGGAGGGUGCAAGCGUUAAUCGGAAUUACUGGGCGUAAAGCGCACGCAGGCGGUUUGUUAAGUCAGAUGUGAAAUCCCCGGGCUCAACCUGGGAACUGCAUCUGAUACUGGCAAGCUUGAGUCUCGUAGAGGGGGGUAGAAUUCCAGGUGUAGCGGUGAAAUGCGUAGAGAUCUGGAGGAAUACCGGUGGCGAAGGCGGCCCCCUGGACGAAGACUGACGCUCAGGUGCGAAAGCGUGGGGAGCAAACAGG